rnacentral:rRNA from 1 species
CUAGUUAGCCUCGGCGGGGUCACGCCCCGGGUGCGUCGCAGCCCCGGAACCAGGCGCCCGCCGGAGGAACCAACCAAACUCUUUCUGUAGUCCCCUCGCGGACGUAUUUCUUACAGCUCUGAGCAAAAAUUCAAAAUGAAUCAAAACUUUCAACAACGGAUCUCUUGGUUCUGGCAUCGAUGAAGAACGCAGCGAAAUGCGAUAAGUAAUGUGAAUUGCAGAAUUCAGUGAAUCAUCGAAUCUUUGAACGCACAUUGCGCCCGCCAGUAUUCUGGCGGGCAUGCCUGUCCGAGCGUCAUUUCAACCCUCGAACCCCUCCGGGGGAUCGGCGUUGGGGAUCGGGACCCCUCACACGGGUGCCGGCCCCGAAAUACAGUGGCGGUCUCGCCGCAGCCUCUCCUGCGCAGUAGUUUGCACAACUCGCACCGGGAGCGCGGCGCGUCCACGUCCGUAAAACACCCAACUUUCUGAAAUGUUGACCUCGGAUCAGGUAGGAAUACCCGCUGAACUUAAGCAUAUCAA